rnacentral:tRNA from 1 species
CAUUAGGAAGCUAUGUAACAGCACUAGCCUUUUAAGCUAGAGAAAGAGAACCGCCAUCCUCCCUAAUGG